GCGACCGCCCAGCACCAGGCGGGAGGCAGAGGAGCAGAACAGCAGGAGCUCCGGGAGUGCCACUCCAGCGUUCCCAGACGGCAGGGCCAGACCUCUGGGAGUCUCUGUUUCCCAGGUCCUGCCAUCAGAGGUACUGUCUUAGUCCUUAAAGGGUCAUCCUGCUGCUGUGUGGAAGACGCUGACCCCAAAGCCAGGAAGAGGGGACCUCCCUAGCAUGCACACCCCCAUUCAAGCAAAGGGGCCGUUUUAGUCAGCUUUUAUGCUGUUGUGACUAAAAGACCCGGCAAGAAAAUUCUGGAGAAGAAAAAGCUUAUUUGGGGGCUCAGGGUUUCAGAGGCUCAGUCCAUAGACGCAGGUUCCUUCCCGGGGCUCCAGGUGAGGCAGGACAUGAUGGCAGAGUGUGUGGCAGAGGGAAGCAGCUCGCAUGGUGAUCAGGAAGCAGAGAGAGACUCCACUCACCAGAUACAAAGUACAGACCCCAAAGGGGUACACCACCACCUCCUCCAGCCACACCCCACCUGCCUUCAAUUACCCCCAGUAACACCCUCAGGGGGUCAAUGUACUGAUUGGUGGAUGCUCUCCUAACCAGUCAUUUCACCCCCAAGCCUUCCGGCACUGUCUCACACGUGAGCUUUGGGGGACACCUCACAUCCAGGCCAUGAGAGGGACUUCACAGGACUUCAUACCUAAAACAAAUACUGCUCAUGCUGUGGGUGUCGAGGCCCCGGGCCAGGUCCUAGGAGGUAAG
rnacentral:lncRNA from 1 species